rnacentral:rRNA from 1 species
AUUGAACGCUGGCGGCAGGCCUAACACAUGCAAGUCGAACGAGUGGCGGACGGGUGAGUAAUGUCUGGGAAACUGCCUGAUGGAGGGGGAUAACUACUGGAAACGGUAGCUAAUACCGCAUACCAUCAGAUGUGCCCAGAUGGGUUUAGCUAGUUGGUGGGGUAACGGCUCACCAAGGCGACGAACCCUAGCUGGUCUGAGAGGAUGACCAGCCACACUGGAAGUGGGACACGGUCCGGACUCCUACGGAAGUCAGCAGUGGGGAAUAUUGCACAAUGGGCGCAAGCCAGAUGAAGCAAUGCCGCGUGUAUGUAGAAGGCCUUCGGGUUGUAAAGUACUUUCAGCGGGGAGGCGUUACCCGCAGAGGAAGCCCCGGCUAACUCCGUGCCAGCAGCCGCGGUAAUAC